rnacentral:rRNA from 1 species
UCGGAUUGUAGUCUGCAACUCGACUACAUGAAGCUGGAAUCGCUAGUAAUCGCAGAUCAGAAUGCUGCGGUGAAUACGUUCCCGGGUCUUGUACACACCGCCCGUCACACCAUGGGAGUCGGAAAUGCCCGAAGCCGGUGACCAAACCAAUAAGGAAGGAGCCGUCGAAGGCAGGUCUGAUAACUGGGGUGAAGUCGUAACAAGGUAAC